ACGGAUAUGACGGAAUUGGUAGACGUGUUAGGUUUAGACUCUAAUGAUUGUAUCGUGAGAGUUCAAGUCUCUCUAUCCGUA
rnacentral:tRNA from 1 species